rnacentral:rRNA from 1 species
UGGCGAACGGGUGGGUAACGCGUGAGGAACCUGCCUCAAAGAGGGGGACAACAGUUGGAAACGACUGCUAAUACCGCAUAAGCCCACGGGUCGGCAUCGACCUGAGGGAAAAGGAGCAAUCCGCUUUGAGAUGGCCUCGCGUCCGAUUAGCUAGUUGGUGAGGUAACGGCCCACCAAGGCGACGAUCGGUAGCCGGACUGAGAGGUUGAACGGCCACAUUGGGACUGAGACACGGCCCAG